UAUCAACGCAAAGUAGAACGGUUUUGCAAACUGAUAACGAAAGCAAACCGAAAUCGUCUCGGUCAUUCUUAAUUUUUAUGUUAGCCAUGUUGGUGGUCUGAUACAAAAGAAUAUUUUAUCUAUGCUAUUUGCAUCUCCUGUAUGCUGACGUGGGCGAGCCACGUACGUUGUUUUCAGUCACCUUAAGAUGAGUGCAACCCAGCAAUA